rnacentral:tRNA from 1 species
UCCUGCGUAGCUCAGUUGGCAGAGCGUUCGACUGUUAAUCGAAAUGUCGCUGGUUCAAACCCAGCCGCAGGAGCCA